rnacentral:lncRNA from 1 species
AAAAAAAAAAAAAAAGAAAAAAAAAUAGGCUGCAAUUCAGUGGAAACAAAGGAAAAAGUUGGUGCUUGUGUAAGGCCAGGGCACAAAUCUGCGGGAGCAGAGCGGGGCAGGGCUGGCGCAACGCUUCCCAAAAGGUCAUUUUCUCUUCCUCUCCGACCUCGGGAAGUGGUGAUGAUGGGCUCCAGCAACAGCUAAAGAGCUUCAGCCAUCAGAAAAUACGUUUAUUUAUUUAUUUUUUUUAAACAGCAGUUCGAGGCAGUGCUGGUUUUGGUACUGCAGCUGCCGAACCUCAGCCCCGGCCCAUUUUACAGAGGGGUUGGAUGAGAACUAGCGUGAUUUACCCCAAAAAGGGGAUUCUGCCUGGAGCAGCAGGAGACAUCCCAUGGCAGGAGAGGGCCCUGGGGCUGGGGGCUUAGCAGGAUGAGCCCCCCAGCAGGAUGUUUGUUCAACGCUAUGGCUGGGGAUGAAAAACACGAGUGGGAUGCAUGCAGCUUGCUGCAGGAGGUGUAGAGGAACCCUGUCACUCAGGCGGAUCAAAACAAGCUGGAUUUCAUCAUCAGGAGGCAUGCUUGGUGCAGCUAAAGCUGGUUCUGGAGUUUUUAUUUAUUUAUUUGUACUUCUUGGCUUUGUUUCUCCCUUAGUUUAAGCAACUGCUUGCUACUUCUCCCCAAGCCAGAGCCGAGCACGCUCCUGCCGUUACCAAAGUGCACAUUACAGCAGGGAGAAUGAAUUUUGAAUGAUUUUUUUCCCCUGCCCUGUUAUUUCUUUAGAUGGUGGACACCAUCAUCAGGGGGUGCUGCAGACCUCAAAGCACAAGGGGACAAAAGGGACAGAGAAUGCACAUGUGCUGUUGUCAUACCGGUGCCCCAAAGAACACGUGCAGCUUUUGCAAAAGCUCGCAUCACCCCGGCGUUCCUGCGCUCUCCCGUGUGGAAUUUCUCAUGCUGCCUCCCCAAAGCCGUGCUCCCACGUCUGGGAAAUGCCAGGUCAGCCGGAUCAUGCUGAGGACUAAAUUAAACAAGGAAACACCUCCGCUUGUCCUCACCCAUCAGGAAAUCCAUUUUUUAAACCUCAGAUCAAGGCAAUUCAUCUUCCCAUUAGGACAGAGCUGGCAUAUCCAAUGA